rnacentral:rRNA from 1 species
GAUGAACGCUGGCGGCGUGCCUAAUACAUGCAAGUCGAGCGAACAGACGAGGAGCUUGCUCCUCUGACGUUAGCGGCGGACGGGUGAGUAACACGUGGAUAACCUACCUAUAAGACUGGGAUAACUUCGGGAAACCGGAGCUAAUACCGGAUAACAUGUUGAACCGCAUGGUUCAACAGUGAAAGACGGUCUUGCUGUCACUUAUAGAUGGAUCUGCGCCGCAUUAGCUAGUUGGUAAGGUAACGGCUUACCAAGGCAACGAUGCGUAGCCGACCUGAGAGGGUGAUCGGCCACACUGGAACUGAGACACGGUCCAGACUCCUACGGGAGGCAGCAGUAGGGAAUCUUCCGCAAUGGGCGAAAGCCUGACGGAGCAACGCCGCGUGAGUGAAGAAGGUCUUCGGAUCGUAAAACUCUGUUAUUAGGGAAGAACAAAUGUGUAAGUAACUAUGCACGUCUUGACGGUACCUAAUCAGAAAGCCACGGCUAACUACGUG